rnacentral:rRNA from 1 species
AGCAGCCGCGGUAAUUCCAGCUCCAAUAGCGUAUAUUAAAGUUGUUGCAGUUAAAAAGCUCGUAGUUGAAUUUCGGGACCAAUCUGCCGGUCGUGCCUCCGGUACGCACUGGUUUUAUUGGUUUCUCCCUUCUGACGAACCAUGAUGUCAUUAAUUUGGUGUCAUGGGGAAUCAGGACUGUUACUUUGAAAAAAUUAGAGUGUUUAUAGCAGGCUUACGCUUGAAUACAUUAGCAUGGAAUAAUGAAAUAGGACGUUUGACCCUAUUUUGUUGGUUUCUAGGAUCGACGUAAUGAUUAAUAGGGAUAGUUGGGGGCAUUAGUAUUCAAUUGUCAGAGGUGAAAUUCUUGGAUUUAUUGAAGACUAACUACUGCGAAAGCAUUUGCCAAGGAUGUUUUCAUUAAUCAAGAACGAAAGUUAGGGGAUCGAAGACGAUCAGAUACCGUCGUAGUCUUAACCAUAAACUAUGCCGACUAGGGAUCGGAUGAUGUUAAUUUUUAAUGACUCAUUCGGCGCCUUAC